GAAUUUACCAUUCCAAGACAAGUCCAGACAGCAGUGUUGAAAUCCAGGGCUCAGUUAGAGAAACCAAAAGGUCUUCUAGUGCUAUUAAAUCGGAUUGUGGAACGAUAAUGCUAAUGUGGCCUUCUGUGUAAACCCGUGGGAAGACGGAUGUCUACGGCUGGGUAUUAUCAGAAGGACAUGCUUAGAAAUCUCCCUGCAACACUUCCGAGGAACAUGAGACAUUUCCACACGAAGAAGAAGAGCUGGUUCAACUUCAUGGGCAAGAAGACGAAGACGUGAACUCACAUCCAGUCCUCAUGUUUGCAAGUUCAUCUUUCGACCAAGAUUGUAGGAUCUGAUACGUGUGGAUAGGUUCCUGUACAGCUGUGAAGGACGCGUGGAGGAUAGAUGGUGAUAGCGUACAUAGGUUCCAUCCGCAGUAUGGAUGGUGUCCAAAAUUGGAUAGCUGAUGUGUAUGGCUUUCAUCAUGUGCGGAAGUUCAACCAUCGAUGGCUUUUACCACAUGUGGAUACCACUCAAGUCACCCUGCAAGUUCCAGAAGGCUUUCUGCAGAAAAGAACGGCUUUUGCAGGAGGCAAGUUUUGUGAGCUAAUGGAGCCUAUUGUCAAUUGGGAGUUCCAGUCUUGUUCAUGACAAGGAGAUACCAGCCACUUCCUUUUUGACAGAGGGACAUUAGGGAGGUAAAAUCUGUGGCAUCUUCUUAGAUCAUGUGGUGCUCAACAUGUCCAUGUGCAGCUGGAUUGUCCCUGUUAUUUUGAGAAGUGCUCAAGACAAAAUCUGACUGCACCAACCAUGAAAUGUCGAACUUGAAAGGUGCAUGUUCGACAUUGAAAACUGGGACGGUGCAAAAACGCUCUUGAAACUUAAAAGGUGCUUUAUGAGGUGCUCUCGUGUUUGUAGACAGGCCCACUUGUUGAUAUGUCAAGAAAUUGGUGAUGGCAUUUGGAAUCAGGACAAAAAUCAGAGAUAUGAUAAAUUACAAACAAGCAACAUGGGUGACAAUUUGAAACUGUUACGAAUAGUCAGAAUGUGUUUAAUACUAUGUGUAACAUCUGACCAGUGACACAUGACUGUGAAUGGCACAUCUACAUAUGUGUGAGCUUGAAUGUAUAUGGAGGGUUUCGAAUAGCUACUUUGUUUUUAAUUGUGCUAUCAAGAGAGAAACAUUUUUAAAAUGUGAUUUCCAGUCAAAAGCAUGCUGCUUAUGUUUUGGACCAAUGUGACUGGCCACACCCGUUUUUUGUUUCAUUUUAAUCAUAAUUUAGUUUUAUCAUAUUUUUAGCUGAAUCUUUGAUGUAAAGACCCAUAUGUUCUUAUCAUCAUUGUAUAUGUCCUCUGAAGACUUUGACAAAGGGAGGCAACUUCAGCAGAAUCUGGUGCUAUUUAUGUAAAUCUACAUUUACAUAUGUAUGUAUAGGAUUGAUGAAGCAUUAAGAGGUAUGUUACGGGAGUGUCUUUAUCAUGCCGGUGUUAGUUGUAGAUCUUUUUGGUUCAAAAAGAAUAAAAGUGUUUGCAGCUAUACAUGUACAUUGAUAAAUUCACAUGUUUGUUUUAUGUUUUUAGCUAUUUUAUUUUACCGGCCAAGUCUUCUCAUUUUAUAUGUAUCUUACUGGUUGUAUACCAGGGUAAAUACGACCAUCAACAUGGCAUGUUACAUAGAAGCCAUUGUGACGAAGCUGGGAUCAUUUGAGCUGUGAAUAUAUUUAUAUGUGGAAAAAUGAAAUUGUGUUAAUUUAAGAAUUUAUUUCAUGAGUCGAUAUUCGAUAUACCCUGUUCAUGAAACCCAUGGAACGUACUCAUUGGUAAACAUACCCGAAGUGGCAGUUAAAUAUUGCACUGACCAAACUUCGCAGCUGAGCAGAUUGUGAGUUCACUCCCACCUUAUGGCAACUUUAUAUUUUGUUGCCUUUCAAUCAAAUGCUGUUCAUAUUAAAGAUAAUAGGCACAUAAAUUAUUUGAAAUGUGUGUGUGGCUGUUUAACUGAACAUAGCUGCAUAAAACAAUAAUUCAGGGAUAAACUUAAUAACAGUUUAAUGAUAUUUACAAUUUAUUAAGUGAAUCAGAAGAACUAAGGGGCACAUGCUAUCCUGCGAGUUCAUCAGUUGAAAAAUUAUGUUGUUUAUAGUCGGAAUUAACUCUGUUUGGAAAGUACCAAGAAGAAAUAAAGAUACAGUAUAAUUACUUAUAAGUCAGUUGAUGAAGAAAGAGAGAAAAUAAUGCUGAAACUGAACUGUGUUAACAGGAAAACAUGAUUUCUUUCUUGGCCAAAUCUUCAUGUACUCUGCUGCUAGCCAGUGUAAUCUUAACACUUUGCAUAGUGUUUCAACCAUUUUUGUCCAGCCAGCCUUUAUAAAACACACAAAACAUUUGGACUGAAAUUUUGCCAAGAUCAGUAUACAUUUAGUUUUAUGGGUAUGUAUUCCUCAUCGAAACAUCUCUUCACAUCUUGGCAAAAUAAGUUAUUUUUUGUACAACAUUUAGUAACUUGGCCCUUUAUGUGUCAUGUCUACAUUUACAAGCACUUUUAUAGGUCUUUAGAACCUAAUUUAUUUUGUAAUAUUCCAUAUACUUGUGAUGUCCAAGACCAGAAAUAUCACACAACGAAAGAAAACAAAGUGUGUUCUCAUAGCAUGACUAAUGUGGGAUUUUUUUUCAUGAAAUUUGGACAAAUAAUUAUGCACUUUAUUUUCAGUUAUAACAAUUUUCUUAAAGUUCAUCUUGAAAAUUUUAACAUUUGAAAAUCAUCAGUUUAAAGAGGAAAAUUUACCAUAUCCCACAUGGAUUAAUAGUGGUUCACAUGGCAAAUUCCUGCCAUGUGUAAAACAUCUAAUAAAUAAAACUCUGAAUAAUGUUUCCUAGUGGUAAAAGUGUUCGAAAGUAAGAUUACAGGUUGAAACAGAGGCACCUCCUGGAGGUUGCAAGUGCAUACCAAGUUAAGGAGGCAGUUGGAGGUGCAAGACAGGCUAUGCAAUAGGGGCCUUAUCUGAAGGGCUUUGAUUUUAAAUUCUCGUUAUGCGUGGAUGCAUGACAAAGUGCUUUAUUACCAUUGUACUAACGUUACUGGGAUAUGCAAACAAUCUGUAAUUUCAUGCUAUAGUAUUCAGUUAUUCCAGAUGACUUCAAUGGACAUGUGUAAUACUAACAGUACGAUUUUAAAGAAAUAAAAUUUGGGUGGGAAAGUAACUGAAUUAAGGGGGAUAACUCUGUUGUGUAAAAAUUUGUUAGCUAUGCACUGUCAGUAUUUAUUAAUGCCACCUGUGACACAUCAUAUGAUAUACUUUUAUAAUGGUGUUUUUUUAUGUUUCUACAUUGUACAGUAUCUGAAUGGAGAGAAAUCAUGAUUAAAAGGUAAAAUUAUGGAA